rnacentral:tRNA from 1 species
GAGUGUAUAGCUGAGUGGUAGAGUACUUGCCUAGCAUGCACGAGGUCUUGGGUUCAAUCCCCAGUACCUCCA